GACGAACGCUGGCGGCGUGCUUAACACAUGCAAGUCGAACGGAAAGGCCCUGCUUUUGUGGGUUGCUCGAUUGGCGAACGGGUGAGUAACACGUGAGUAACAUGCCCUUGACUUUGGGAUAACUUCAGGAAACUGGGGCUAAUACCGGAUAGGAGCUCUUGAUGCAUGGGGGGGGUUGGAAAGUUUCGGCGGUUGGGGAUGGACUCGCGGCUUAUCAGCUUGUUGGUGGGGUAGUGGCUUACCAAGGCUUUGACGGGUAGCCGGCCUGAGAGGGUGACCGGCCACAUUGGGACUGAGAUACGGACCAGAAUCCUACGGGAGGCAGCAGUGGGGAAUAUGGCACAAUGGGCGGAAGCCUGAUGCAGCAACGUCGCGAGCGUGAUGACGGCUUUCGGGUUGUAAACCGCUUUCGACGGUGACGAAGCGUGAGUGACGGUAAUGGGUAAAGAAGCACCGGCUAACUACGUG
rnacentral:rRNA from 1 species